GUCCAUUUUCUGUUUGCUUGUUUUUGGCUUCUUUCCAUAUAUAAUGCAUGAUCAAACCAAGUUGUUAGUUUGUUUGAAAUUUUAUCUGGUAUGUAGGGAAAAGCCAAUAAGCCAUUGACACUUUUUAGACCUACCUAUCAGUUUGAACAUAAUGUGUAAUUGUGAAGGUUACAAGUAAAUAGAAUUGAGAAAGUGUUCUUAUUGUAUUUGAUCAUGUGAUUGUGAACAUGGCUGAAAAGUGUUAUAUAACUUUAUAAUGAAAGAAAUAUUUUGUAUAUUUAUUCUAUCUCAUAUUUUAAGUUUAUAUAUAUAUAUAAGAUGUAAUUAGAGAUAUUAUAUUUCUAAUAUAAAAAGGUGAACUUAUGAAGUUUAUGAUAGUGAUAUUCAGAAAGUAAUUGCAAAUAAUUUAUUCCAAAGAGAGUACAUAAUAAUGUAGACUACCUACGACAUCCAGAUUACUUAAGCAUAUCUGAUCAUAUCCCCUCACACUAUAAUAAUAGCAAUUAUUUAAGUUAUAUUGGUAUUAAUUCAUCAUUAUAUCUAUUCCAUAAGACCAUAACCAUAACUCCCACGUAUGCUUUUUGCCAUAAAUUAAACAUCAAUUCCCACCAUCUAUCUGUCACUUUCUCUUCCCAUUUACUACUCCUUUUAUAUAUUUUUAUGAUUCUUUUUCAAAUGCUUCAGAAACAUUGGAAACCAAAGGACAUGGUUUUGUUUUCUCAUGAUCAGUGUCAUAGUAACAGUGAAGAAAAUAUAUGUCUCCAAUUCCAAAGCUGUUUAUUACCAAAGGUGAUCUCUGAGGCAAGCUGCUUUCACUUGUUCUUGAAAAGAAACUUGCAAGAGGUUGGAAUCACUGAAGAAUAAAGAAAGCAAUGGAAACUCUCCCAAUAUCAGAUACCAGCAUAAAUAACAGAGUCAAGAAUUUCCUCAAUUUUGAUGCAAGCUAAAUAUGGAGCUGAUGGGGAUUUCAUUGCUUACCAAACUGCAGGAACAAAUAAAUCUUCCACCACUUGCUUAAAAAUGUGUUAUUCUGAUGAUUGAUUACUGCAUCCAUUUGUUAAUUAAUUUCCAACUUAAGCACUGUUAAAUCAUGAAAAGAAACAUUGAUCUUGAAGUUGAAGCCUCUGCCGAACAAGAAUCCGAAGUUAGCAGCCAGGUUGCAUCCAGUGUCUCUAUCCAAGAAGCCUCAGCAGGUCCUUACAGUGACAGCCUCGAUAACUCUUUCAUCAGGAAUCCAAUCGCAGUUCAUCCUAACUGGGAUGCUGCUUCACUUGACUUAACUCUCAACUUCAAGAACAAUGAGUUAGGGGCAACAAGAGAUUCAUUAGGAUUCUCAUUCUCAACCACUACUAGUGAGAGCAGCAAUGACCCUGCCUCUCAGACCACAGAAUCCACCGCGCCGCGAAGUUUCUCUUGCACUUACUGCCAGCGCAAGUUUUUCAGCUCUCAAGCUCUUGGUGGACACCAGAAUGCUCACAAGAGAGAAAGGACAUUGGCAAAAAGGGCCAUGAGAAUGGGAUUUUUCUCUGAGAGAUAUGCAAGUCUAGCUUCUCUGCCUCUGCAUGGUUCUUUCAGGUCUUUCGGAAUAAAGGCACAUUCUUCGACAAUGCACCAUGGCUUCUCACCAACAAUAAUGAGGCCUGCUCCCGAGGUGAAAAGCAAUGCAAGAUUUGAGCAAGGAUAUGUUGGCCUUCCAAUGUUCUCGGAGGAUGAUGACUCGGAACUCAUGUGGCCAGGUAGUUUUCGCCAGGUCACAGAUGCUGGCAAAAAUAAUCAUCGGGAGCUCAUACAGACUGGAAAUCCAAAUUUGAGUUUCAGUAAGACAUGUUAUAGCAUUCGGUUGCAUCAGGAUUCUACAUUGCAAGCCAAAAUAAAAUGAAAUAAAAGAAGCAUUUCCAAUUAUGCAGGAAAAAGACAAACCCCCUGCACUUACAUGAUGACGUCAGGAUAUGUUAUGCCAUCUGAAUUCUGAGCCAUGCGCCACUCAUCCAGCUUUAUACGAGACCCUCACUUUCCUUUCUCUUAUGACUCUUUAGUCUUCUGCUGCACUACACACACUUGCAGUUCUUGAAUCGUGCUUGUAACACAUGGCAUCCGCCUCUUCUUCAUACGCCUAUCAUGUGUUCUUGAGUUUCAGAGGAGAAGACAUUCGCACUGGAUUCAUCUCUACGCCGCACUCAACAGGAGCGGAAUCACAACCUACAUUGAUGAAAGGCGAUCUUAUUUCAGAUGAACUUCUCAAGGCAAUGGAAGAGUCCAUGUUUGCAAUCACAGUCCUUUCACUUAACUACGCUUCAUCCGCAUGGUGCUUGGAUGAGCUCUGCGAGAUCCACAUUGUGGCGGUGUUCUACGGAGCCUUCUCAUCUGAGGCACUAGAAAGGAACCUUUGAAGAGAGUCAGAAGGUGCUGCUUAUUCUGGUUGGCACUCCAAAAAUCACAACUUAUAGCAUCGUUCUACAUGAUAAGGAACUUUAUAAGGCCGCGCUGUGUUGGAGAGAUUUAGCUUUCUCAAAUAUAUGCCAGCUAAAGCUCUUCAUUUUAGAUGAUGUGAAAGCUCCCAUUCUCAGCAAUAUUCCAAGUUCAUUAAGAGCUUUACAUUGGAGAGGUUCUCUAAUGGAAACUCUACCCCUUACAGAUCAACGCUAUGAACUUGUUGAAAUUGAUCUGUCUUGAAACAACAUUGUAAAACUAUGGGAUGGAGAAAAGCUUCUAGAAAAUUUGAAGUACUUAAAUCUGUCAUCAUGCCCCAAUCUGAAGCAAACUCCGGAUCUUUCUGGGACUCCUAAUCUAGAAACACUUGUUGUAUUGAAUUUACAGAGUAGUGUCAAUCUUGAAACACUUGGAGAUAAAAUGGAGAUGAGUUCACUCAAGGAACUAGAUCUAUGAAUGUGCAGUAGUUUGAGAAGGCUCCCAGAAUUUGGGAAGUGCAUGAAAUGGCUAUCGAUUCUUACUUUGGGUGUUGCAGGCAUAGAAGAGCUUAGUAGUGGUCCAAAUAUUGGAGUUUUAUGUUGUCUCUCUAGUCUAACCUCUUUGAACAGUCUGACGACCCUUUACUACAAUCUUAGCCGCUUAUCUUUGUUGACGUACUUGGAUUUAUCGUGAAACCGAUUUGUAAAGGUUCCAAUAAGUAUCCAUGAACUUCCCCGGCUUACACGUCUGCAGCUAAAUCGUUGCCAUAAUAUGGAGGUUUUGCGAGAACUUCCAUCAAGUCCAAGAGAAUUAGAUGCAUCAUGUUGUGAAUCACUAGAUGCAUCCUACGUCAAAGAUGUGCCAUGUCUUUGUAGAAUCAGCUAGGCAAUAUGGUGAUGUCUUACAAGUGUUGACCAUCAAGAACAAGGUAACGUUGUAUCAGUUCGAUUCCUAUUACAUGAUCGAACACGCGGUAAACUACAGCCUUUAGUGAUCUGCAACGGUAAAGAAUUCAUCAAACCGGAGUUUAUUUCAAGUGUUUUGUAGAGUUUCUCCGCAUUUGUUCAUUGUCUAUUUUAGUAGCCUGUUAUGCCAAGAGAAUCGCUUCCAAAUGUUAUUUCCCGGAGAUAUGGAGCACGUUGGGUGUGUAAGAUUUCAAGAAAAGAAAUGUAUGAACUUGGUAUCAUGUGUAAAUUGUCGAGGCUAUAGUGAGGAUUUGACUUAAAGUUUGCAGUGGGCUAACCAACUUAUAAAAAGUUGAAGUUCACUCUGGAUAAGGCAAACUUUUUAAAAAGAGGGAUGUUAGGCGGCAGCAAAUUUUGUGAUUUGUAAUGAUUAAUUAGUUAUUAUUAGUGUUUUUAAUGGUGUGAGAUUUUAUCUAAUGGUGUGGGAUUACUCACUC